AAUCAACGCUGGCGGCGUGCCUAACACAUGCAAGUCGAACGAGAAAGUGACUUCGGUCACUGGAAAGUGGCGUCCGGGUGAGUAACACGUGGGUAAUCUACCCUCGGGUGGGGAAUAACGGAUCGAAAGAUUCGCUAAUACCGCAUAAUGCAGCGGCACCUAAUGGUGAAUAGUUGUUAAAGCGGGGGAUCGCAAGACCUCGCGCCUGAAGAGGAGCCUGCGGCAGAUAGCUAGUUGGUGAGGUAAUGGCUCACCAAGGCUUCGAUCUGUAGCUGGUCUGAGAGGACGGCCAGCCACACUGGCACUGACACACGGGCCAGACUCCUACGGGAGGCAGCAGUGGGGAAUUUUGGGCAAGUGGGCGAAAGCCUGACCCAGCAACGCCGCGUGAGGGAGGAAAUCCUUC
rnacentral:rRNA from 1 species